rnacentral:piRNA from 1 species
UGAGUUUACCUGCCUGAGAAGCAUCCUAAG